AAAUAUGGAUGAGAAGCUACAAACCAAAGGAAAUAGAGGAGCAAUGGGGAACAAGUGUAAACACAGUAUACUCACACCCAAAACCUCUAAUUCCAUCCUUUUCUUGACUCCAUUAUUCACAAUUUUUUUUAUUUUUCUCUAUUUUUUUUUUUUCUUUUUCUCAUCCUGUCUCUUUCUUCUUCUUCUUCUUUUUUUUUUUUUAACAAAACUGUAAGAGACAAGAUGCACACAUAUAUACAGAAACAAAACAAGAAGAGGAACCAACUAGCCAAUUCAUCAAAAUCUCCCAAGAGACCACACUUAUUCCCAAAACAAUUCCAAAG
rnacentral:lncRNA from 1 species